rnacentral:rRNA from 1 species
AUUGAACGAUGGCGGCAGGCUUAACACAUGCAAGUCGAGCGAGCGGCGGACGGGUGAGUAAUGUAUGGGAAACUGCCUGAUGGAGGGGGAUAAAUACUGGCAACGGUAGAUAAUACCGCAUACCAUCAGAUGUGCCCAGAUGGGAUUAGCUAGUAGGUGGGGUAAUGGCUCACCUAGGAGACGAUCCCUAGCUGGUCUGAGAGGAUGACCAGCCACACUGGAACUGAGACACGGUCCAGACUCCUACUGGAGGCAGCAGUUGAGAAUAUUGUACAAUGGGUGCAAGCCUGAUGCAGCCAGGCCGCGUGUGUGAAGAAGGCCUUCGGGUUGUAAAGCACUGUCAGCGAGGAGGCGUUACUCGCAGAAGAAGCACCGGCUAACUCCGUGCCAGCAGCCGCUGUAAUAC